CUAAUCACUGUUUAGUUCAGAAGGUUCUAAGACAUGAAAGGAUUCUGGGAAAGGUGCUUCCUUGGAGACUUUACAGGGCCUAAAGCUCAUUGUGAUAACUGCACGAUGCUGACAAGACAAUGCCUCCCUUCCCUGACUGUAAGGUUGUCCCUACUGGUUUAUUCACUUUGGAGGCGCCUGGCUCCGUAUUCCUCAGGUACUGCUGGAUGAGGCUGUCUGGAAGACAAAAGUCGCCAUACCCUGAGAUAAGCAGUCAUGUUGAUAUCUGGAUUCUAAAAAUCCACAACUAGACUGGAGAAAUGUUCUGUAUCCUGGAUUCAAGUCCUAGCCCACGAACUGGCCCUUAAAAAUUUAGCUCAUAAAUAUUUGAUUGAAGGAAUGAAUUUAAUAAGUGCUACCUUCUGCACUAAGUAUUUAUUCAGAGAAUACAAAGAUGAAUGAGAUACAGUUGCUACCCUCCAGGGGCCAACAGCCCAGCUCCAAAGGCUCACCUACCUUGGUGAACACCCACCUUGGUGAAGGCAUCUAGGGUGGACUCCUCCGACAUCUCAUCCUUCCCAGGUGGAUAGUGAGCUGACUUCACAUUUAUCACUUUGUACCUAAAGUGUCCUCCUCCUAUUUGGUUGAUGGUGGUAGCUCCCCCCACCCACCCACACUCCAAACCUCAAGUCCUCUUGGAGGCCUGUGUUUUCUUUUCCUCAACUCCCACAGCCAGGUCCAAAUGACUAUGCCUGUCUAGUGGCUUUCAGAGUUGACUCAUUCUUGCCAUUGCAUGCCCAUGGUUUCAUCCCUGAAACAGGGCCUCACUUCCUUGGCAUCUCCCCACUGCUCCUCUCUUUCCCCACCAGGCUGUUCUCUGCCCUUACACCAGGUGCUUCAAAACCCUUAGUGGCUCCUCAUUACUUACAAAUGAAGUCCAUACACUUUAGCAAGGCUUUCAAGGCCUCCACAAUCCGAUGCCAGCCAACUUUUCCAUUCUUAUUCCACUCUAAGCCUCCUCCCCACAGCAGCUUGGGAUCCAACCCCAAAACACCACUGGCCUUCUUUCAGACACAUAUCUCCCCAGUACCCUACCUCUAGGCAUUUGUCAUGCUGUCACCUGGGCCUGGAACAUGUUCUAGCUGACAGGCCAGCUUCUCCAGGAAGCCCUCCCUAAUCUGCAAAUUAGAACAUUCUCUGGGUUGUCGUGGGAUUCUGCUUGUCCCCUCUAAAAUAAAACAACCUUGUGUUGUAGUUACACACAUGCAAUGUCUUAUCUCCCUGCCCCAUCAGGCUGCAAGCUUCUUGAGGGCAGGAACCUGGUCUUGAACCCCAGUGUUCUAUCACUGUGUGCUCAGUGGGAGCAAAGAAUCAACAGCUGUUAUUAUCCUUCAGAUUUAUGCUUCUUGGGGAGCCAUGCCCUGGGGCACACUUUACCUUCUUUGUCCCAGGCUGCUUCUCUAUAAAUAUUAACCUUUCUUUCCUAGUCUACACUCUCAGAGAGUAGUAGAAAGAGAGUAGGGUGUAGUAGUAGAGAGAUUGCUUAUCUCUCUCUGUGGCGAUGGCUAUGCUUCACCUUGCCUUCUAGUUCAUGGUACGCAUCCCUGCCUCUCACACUGGCCCAUUGCUUCACACCCAAGGGCAUAAAUAAAAGCCACUCUCUAAACUUUGCCAUGCCACAAAGACCUGGGCCCAAUCUGUGAACCUGAUUUGGCUCUGGCGUGGGGAUUUGGAAAAGCUUCCCAUGCGAUUCUGACAUGCACCUUCAUUAGGUACAUUUGGCUGCAACUUUUUUAAAAAAUGAGGAGUCCAGAGUCUUCUACAGUCCCUUGAGCAGGGAUUUGCACACAGAAGACACUCAAUAUCUUGUUAUUGAAUAAAGUAGAUACCAAUGUAGCCCUCUGGCCAACCUAGAGAGAGCUUGUAAGGCAUUUCCCCUUCAGUUCCAGAUGCAACUUCAAUGAUCUAUUUGCCAAUGGGGCAGUAGAUCUGGAGGAGUUUAUCGGUCUAGGGAAGAGCCAGGGCCUAGUUUUAAUAAUGAGGCCAGUAGCACCUGCUGGACAGGGCUGGGCGGCAUACCAGUGAAGGGAAGGGGCUCCCAUGGACCUACCUGCCAGCCUACAGGUGGGGCCACUACUCACCACCGAUGGGAGAAACAGCAUAAGGAAGAGAUAAUGAGGUAGUUUGUGGUAUCAGAGCUAAGCCUAUGGGCUUCUAGUUGGCCUAAUCUUUCAAACACAGUUUCACACUGAUUCUUAACAUUUUGUUCAACUUUUACUCAGAGGGCAGGCUGAGCCAGGGAGCAAAAAGGCAAAGGACUCCUACUCACAUACCCACUUAGCAAAACCAAAGCACCUUGGGCUUUGAACCCACCCUUCUUAGAAGGCAGGUUUGGGGGUUGAGGCCCCUUGAGAAGCUCACUUCACCCUCUCCCCAUGCCAUCCCAUUCCUACCCAUCCCAAGAUGCUUCUCUUGUAUUUCUUUCAGCACAUCCAGCCAUCUCCCUGGGAGCGUUUCAUAUCUGACUCUUUAUACUUCCAGUGAUGUUUUGGCAUCCCUAAUAGACUGGCUCCCAAGGCAGUCUUUAAUCAGGAGUCUUCCCCUAAUCUAGCUCCUCAAGAACCCAAGGGAAGAGGCACAAAGAGAAGUAUGAAUAGGAAGAUAGAAGGGUAACCCAGUCAGAGAGGGAGUGGCAGAUGACACUGCUGAAAAGGAGUUUCCAGAGAGUUGCACACCAUGAGCCACGCUGUCUGUCCCUGACCACAACCUCCACUGGCCACCACCUCCUGGGCUUCCCCUCCCUCCACCCACAGAAACCAUUGCUCAAUCUCAACUGGACUCUUGCAGGCCUAUCUCUCCCUCCAAACAGAGAUGUCCUGGACACAGAGCUGCAGACCUCUAACCACUCCUGGAACAUAAAAAAACCCACGGUGGUUCUACAGCAUUUACACCUCCAGUUUCCCUCAGACAGAAUCCAGAAGAGAAGAACCUCGCUGAUCUCUGAGCGGAGCAUGUCUCCAAGCUCAGGCCAGCCCCAGAACUCCAAUGGCCUCAACUGGAGUGGAAAUCCCUCAAAGGCACAAACCCAGUUCCUACCAUCUCCCUCAGUGCCUGGCAAUGUUUGUGGUUGGUUGAGUGAGUUAACAGGAGACCAUCUUUUGGCCUUUUUUCUACCUCUGUUUUCUCUUACUAUACUUGCCUACAUCUCAUCUUCUGGUCAACACCAGGUACUCACCCCAUGAGCUUCUUGUGAACUUGUCUGGGGCCCACCGGCCUAAACAUCAUCUUUUUUGUUUGGAAUUAAGCUUUGUUGAACUUUUCACAGGUUUCAUUUAUGCAAAUGCCUGUGAUGGGACAAAAAGGUCUGCAAACAUGGAAACCUGGUCUAAAGAUGUCCAAAGUAAACUGUCUGUGGAGUCGAAUGACAUUUGAGCCCUGGACCUAAACUCCAAAUCCAAGCUCUUUCCCACUGUGACCUUGGGCCUCUCAAGGCUCAGUUUCCUCACCUAUAAACUGUAGAGAAGCCAAUAACAGACUCAUCCACACUAUGAGGCUGUGCAUAAGGUCAUGUAUGUAAAACUACUUGCUUUGUUGAUCAUUCUGUCCCAGAUAAGUAUGAAUUAUUAUGCAUCAUUUCAUUAAACAAGAAAGCUUCACUGUGUU
rnacentral:lncRNA from 1 species